CCUACGGGAGGCAGCAGUGAGGAAUAUUGGUCAAUGGGCGUAAGCCUGAACCAGCCAAGUCGCGUGAGGGAUGAAGGUUCUAUGGAUCGUAAACCUCUUUUAUAAGGGAAUAAAGUGCGGGACGUGUCCCGUUUUGUAUGUACCUUAUGAAUAAGGAUCGGCUAACUCCGUGCCAGCAGCCGCGGUAAUACGGAGGAUCCGAGCGUUAUCCGGAUUUAUUGGGUUUAAAGGGUGCGUAGGCGGCCUUUUAAGUCAGCGGUGAAAGUCUGUGGCUCAACCAUAGAAUUGCCGUUGAAACUGGGAGGCUUGAGUAUGUUUGAGGCAGGCGGAAUGCGUGGUGUAGCGGUGAAAUGCUUAGAUAUCACGCAGAACCCCGAUUGCGAAGGCAGCCUGCUAAGCCAUGACUGACGCUGAUGCACGAAAGCGUGGGGAUCAAACAGGAUUAGAUACCCCGGUAGUC
rnacentral:rRNA from 1 species